GAGGGGUGUAAACAUCCACGAUGUGUUUCGCGAGAAAGGGGUAACUGUUCAUUUCGAGGCAGUUGUUCUGGAGGACUUAUGUAUAUUUAACACUAUUUUGGGAGGUGGGCAGAAGAAGAAUGAAAGAGGUCUUCCAACAGAGCGGUCGCAAUCAUGAACGGUGCCCUGUAUAUUUCGUUUUUCCAAGGUCAGCUGGAGUCCGCGCUGGAGCAGGUAGUGCAGCUCGCCGUGCAAGAAAUCACCAACACUGCUGGGGCCACUUUGAAUUCAAUGCUGUUGGAAACGGCCACCAAAGAGCAGGAAAAUCAGCGUUUGAGGGCUACCCUUCAGUCUCGGGGAGGGAACGGGAAAAGCAAUGCGUCUAAAGGAAAACCAGACACGAACGACGAAACAAAGCAACACCCCCCCGGUCAGAUCCCGGGAUGUGGCGUUCAGUCCGAAACGCUCAGGCGUGAGCAGAAAGCGCGGGCAGUUGGUCAGUUAAAAUCUGUUAUGGAGCACGUGCUGGAAUUCGCCGUUUAUGAGCUCACUAAAAUUGUGGAAGACAGCUUUGACGACCUGCUCUCGGAGUUCAACAAGAAGGAGCGGGAAAACCAGAUAUUGAAACGGCAGUUACUGGACAAGAACAUAGUGGAGGACAGUGAUGCGGUUGCUGUGGAAACGGAGGACCGCAAAAAUGACACUGCCUCUCCUAGCAGUUCCAGAGAAGAAAAGCAAGAGUGGAAAGGCCUGCAGGGCCACUCACCCAAAAAAGAAAAAACUGAAACCACAAACGAACCAGACAAGCAGACUGUCAUUGCAGUGGCUCAGAACUGGGUGCCCAUCCUGGACAAAGUCUUCGGGCAGAAGUGGUGCAGUGACCUCUGGCAGAUCAAAGAGGUCACCACCAGUAAAGAGGAGUGCACCGGGAUGAGCUCGGGCUCGGUGACCGACAUGAACAGCUUAAUUCGAGAGGCGCUCAUGCCGUCUUGCCUGGCCACUCAGAGGAAGCUGGAGCUGGAGGUGGGGCAGCCACCAUGGUUGCCACUAGACGAUAUGGAGGUUGUUUCUCUAACCUCUGAGACUAAAGGCGUUCCUGUCAUCAGCUCCACAGGCGAUGACUCUCAAAUCAGAUCCCCGUCAAUGUUGCAAAGACUCCUGACGCUCCCUUCCCAGCUGCUCGAGGAUGACGAUGAGUCCAUGGAUGCCGUUCCCAGUCUGGAAGUGUCCAAAGACCCAGCUGAUCCGCAAGACGGUAAGGGUUCAAAGAGUGACCAGAUGAAUAAGAAAAAGAACGAAGAGGAUGAAGACGAGGAGGACGACGAAGAUGAUGAUGAGAUGACGAACAGGACUGAGUCCUUGAAACACAAAGGUAGGAGAAAAUCCCAUGCUUGCAAAGAGUGCGGCAGGAAGUUCAGCCGAGCACAUCUUCUCAGAGCCCACCGACAAACGCACGAGGAGACACCCAACCGAUGCCCACAAUGUGGAAAGAGUUUCUCCCAGUCUUCAAGGCUCCAGGCUCACUUACGGACACACACGGACAAAACGAUAUGAGAGUGCGAAGAUGGGAAAAAAUUCAGGAGAAUAGGAGGAGCGGUUUUCCAGUGAUUAUUGCUUCUCGAAUGACUUGAAAAGAGGAUCUGACUUCCUUAGUAUCCUCAACUAGAGUAGCGUCUUCCUGUACUGUUUGCGUGAGGUUUUUGCAUACAUCUUGAACUUGGAGAAAUGCCCAGUUGUGAGAUUUGGUUUUCCCAGCAUCGGUGGCAUGCAUCUGAAUAUGGAUCGUUAUCUACCAUUUCCAGAGAGGCUGACGGAUUCUGCACUUACAAUUUACUCCCUGUAUUGAAAAGAUAUAGGUCCCACCUGUUACGCACAUUCCCACUCUCGACCCUGAAGUUUUACAAUAUCCCUGUCAGUAAUAAGCAUGAUGGGGGGAUGGGGGGAUGGGGGGGGGUGUGCGGGUGGAGUACAAGGUGUUACUGUUACUUAUUGGAUCAAUACCUCAUCGAUGGGACCAUAUCUUUUCUGGACUUCUGCAAUAUCAAGAGUAAAGGUCCUGCACAAAAAAAAAAAUAAAGUUUACAAAUGGAACGAGACCGGCCAGUUGGCGUGCUUAUUAUUUGAUUGUGCAUUUAAAAAUGUGGCUUAUUUUGUUUUACGUUACCUAAUAUGUCCCUGUAGGAAGGUACCAAGAACUUGCGACCCAAAGAUUACAAUGAAGGGAAAUCUUACAUUCACCGUACAUUCUCUUACAGGAUUAUAUUGCUUUUUUUUUAAACAAUAUGGGCCAUUACAUUUUACAUUAUGAACCCUAAGCUUCUUUUCAGAUGUAUUGAGUAUCUUAACUUCAUUAGUAGACUAUAAUGAAGUACUUAAUCUGUUUAGUGCCUAGAUUUAACCGCUCAAUAAGCUGAUUUUAUAGGUGGUGGUGAGGAUUGAGAGGUUAAUUUGUUGUUUAGCACCCUGCUUUUGUUAAGAACUUGCCAGAACUCCUUCUUUCAUGUGCUUAGUGUUUUGACCAGAACAGUCAACUCUAGAUAUUGUACUAGUUCUCUUUAAUUGUUACAGCUGGUCAGAUCUGACUUCUGUGUAAUUACUAAUGUCAAAAUAACUCUGUAUGUUUCAUUGAUUCAGACUGCUGGGAGCAAUACCGGAAAGGGAUAGUUCACCCAAAAAUGAAAAUUCUCUCAUUAUUUGCUCACCCUCAAGUUGUUCCAAACCUGUUGAACUGAAAAGAUAUUUUGAUAUGUUGGUUACCAGACAGUUGCUCGUGUCACAUACCAGCAACUGUUUUGCUACCAACAUUCUUCAAAAUAUCUAAUUUUGUGUUCAACCGAAGAAAGAAAUUCGUACAGGUUUGGAACAGCUAGAGGGUGAGUAAAUGAUGACACAAUUUUCAUUUUUGGGUGACCGGUCUCUUCAAGCUAAUUACAGCUCAUAGAUCCAAAAGACUGAACACGAAUUGGUGAUAUUAGAAAGAGUGACAAUAUCAUGGUAUAUGUCAAUUUGUUCUGGGUUACAGUAAGCAUUUUAAAUGAAUAUUGAAGGACUUGAAUUUUGCAUUUGACUUAAUGCAAUGAAACGGCCCCAUGUACACCCAUCUAUUUAUGACCAUGAAUUAAAGAAUCUUAGCAUGUAAAAUCGCUUUGGGCUGCAGAUAUUUAUUCAGUUCGUACUGGCGAAUGUGUGAUGCAGUCUCUUGUAAAAACGACAUUGCAACUUUGCGGUAUGUUUGUUUGCGUGUGCGUGACUUUCCUUGAAGUGCAUCAUGAUGAUAACUCAAUUGGCCGUCAUUAAUACCCUGCACCUGUUGUUUUAUUAUUUUAUUGUAACCUUUUUUUUGUGAAGCAAAAUGAACAGCAACUUUUGUCAAACAGUCUUGACACAUGAGCUUUGUGAUGCAGUCCAACAUUCGCCCGGAGAACUGCAUUAUUCUAAUGAACUACUUGAGCAUUUUGCUGUUUUGUUUUGUCAUGCAUGAUGACUCCUUUUAGCGGUUUUAUUAUUUUUUAAGAAUCUGCAUUGUCAUGUAUUGAAAAGAACACUUGUUGUAACAGACCAAUUGGAUCAACUCUUUUCCAUGGAUCAUGGUUAGUAGUUUUCUGUUUUGUUACGGCAUAGUAGCACUGAAUGGAUUAUAGAGUUCAGCAUUUGACCAAUAUAUGCCAAGUAUUACUUUUGUACCAUUUUCUUUUACUUUUUUUGUUGUUUAUUUUUUACGCCAGUAUGUAUUUUGCACUGUUUUCCUGCUACUCCACACAUCCAUACCUCAGUUUUGUUGGUAUUCUGAAAGCAUUGCUUAGUUCCUUACCUCAGGACUCAUUCACAUAGUUUUAGCAUAUUUAUGGCGAAAGUAGACAAAUACAAGAGCUCUGUUAAAUUUGGGUUUACAUUCAGUAAUAUUUUUUGUUGAAAUAAUCCUCUAUACACUGGGGGAAAAAAAAUAAGUGAUAGGGUGAUUAAUGAAAACUUUCUAUUUAAUUAAUAUAGUUAAUUUACAGAAAAUGCACAUUGUGAUCCAGGUAAUUAUGAACCACAUAGAAAAUCAAUACUAAAUCUUUUCCUUUAAAUGUUGCAUAAAAUUUGGUCAACUUUCAAAAGUUGUUAUUAUAGGGAAGUUUGUUUGGUUGUUUUUUCAUCUUUUAGGAGUGCCUGUUGUUGUAUCCAGCAUUUAAUUAUUUCUUCUUUAAAGAAAAAAAGAAAAAGAUUUUACCUA